rnacentral:rRNA from 1 species
UGCACAGGUGCUGCAUGGCUGUCGUCAGCUCGUGUCGUGAGAUGUCGGGUUAAGUCCUUUAACGAGCGCAACCUCAUUGCAUGUUAAUUUUCAUGCGAGACUGCCCUGGUUAACAGGGAGGAAGGUGGGGAUGACGUCAAGUCAGCAUGGCCCUUACACCUUGGGCUACACACGUGUUACAAUGGCCGGUACAAUAAGUCGCAAUACCGUAAGGUGGAGCUAAUCUAUGAAAACCGGUCCCAGUUCGGAUUGGGGGCUGAAACUCGCCCCCAUGAAGUCGGAAUCGCUAGUAACCGUGAAUCAGCACGUCACGGUGAAUACGUUCCCGGGUCUU